AGUUGCAUGACCGAGUGGUCGAAGGUGAUAGAUUCAAGAUCUAUUGAGAUUCUCAUCAUGGGUUCGAAAAUUCCCAUUGCAACUA
rnacentral:tRNA from 1 species